rnacentral:miRNA from 1 species
GUUCCACACUGACACUGCAGAAGU